rnacentral:rRNA from 1 species
UUCUUUUUCCACCGGAGCUUGCUCCACCGGAAAAAGAGGAGUGGCGAACGGGUUGAGUAACACGUGGGUAACCUGCCCAUCAGAAGGGGAUAACACUUGGAAACAGGUGCUAAUACCGUAUAACAAUCGAAACCGCAUGGUUUUGAUUUGAAAGGCGCUUUCGGGUGUCGCUGAUGGAUGGACCCGCGGUGCAUUAGCUAGUUGGUGAGGUAACGGCUCACCAACGGCGACGAUGCAUAGCCGACCUGAGAGGGUGAUCGGCCACAUUGGGACUGAGACACGGCCCAAACUCCUACGGGAGGCAGCAGUAGGGAAUCUUCGGCAAUGGACGAAAGUCUGACCGAGCAACGCCGCGUGAGUGAAGAAGGUUUUCGGAUCGUAAAACUCUGUUGUUAGAGAAGAACAAGGAUGAGAGUAACUGUUCAUCCCUUGACGGUAUCUAACCAGAAAGCCACGGCUAACUACGUGCCAGCAAGGCCGCGGUAAUACGUAGGUGGCAAGCGUUGUCCGGAUUUAUUGGGCGUAAAGCGAGCGCAGGCGGUUUCUUAAGUCUGAUGUGAAAGCCCCCGGCUCAACCGGGGAGGGUCAUUGGAAACUGGGAGACUUGAGUGCAGAAGAGGAGAGUGGAAUUCCAUGUGUAGCGGUGAAAUGCGUAGAUAUAUGGAGGAACACCAGUGGCGA